GACGAACGCUGGCGGCAUGCCUAAUACAUGCAAGUAGAACGGAGCGGCAGACGGGUGAGUAAUGCCUAGGAAUCUGCCUGGUCGUGGGGGAUAACGUCCGGAAACGGGCGCUAAUACCGCAUCCUAUCAGAUUAGCCUAGGUCGGAUUAGGUAGUUGGAGGGGGAAAGGCCUACAAAGGCGACGAGCCGUAACUGGUCUGGGAGGAUGAUCAGUCACACGGGAACUGAGACACGGUCCAGACUCCUACGGGAGGCAGCAGUGGGGAAUAUUGGACAAUGGGCGAAAGCCUGAUCCAGCCAUGCCGCGUGUGUGAAGAAGGUCUUCGGAUUGUAAAGCACUUUAAGUUGGGAGGCGUUACCAACAGAAGAAGCACCGGCUAACUUCGUGCCAGCAGCCGCGGUAAUUC
rnacentral:rRNA from 1 species